GAGGCUGCCUCUAUAAAAGCCUUGGCCAAGCAGCGCUGCUCUGGUCGCUGUUCUUGCUCUGCUCCUUGGCGGCUGCGGUCUGGAUCUGCUCCAUGUCUCCCUUCAGCGAGUGCUGCCUGCCCCCGGGGGUGCUGUGCCCAGAGCCCUUCGCCCUCACCUCCAACGAGCUCUGUGUCAUCAAGUAUCCAGACACCAGAGUGGACUUCCUGGACCCCGACCUGCCCCCCUACUCUGUCAUCUACCCUGGCCCAACCCUCACCACCUUCCCUCAGCAGACCAUAGUGGGAUCCACUGCCUUGUUUGACAUCAGAAACCUGCUGGGCCCCAGGGGCUCCCCCGGGCUUGGGGAUGUCUGCAGCUCUGGGACAGGAUGGAACUUGGGCUGCAGCUCAGGAGCCUUCUGUGAGACAGGAACCUUCCAGCCUCUUUCUCCUCACCUGUCCAAUCAAUUCUGUUACCUUCCUUGCAGGCCAACCUAAAUCUGGCCCUGGGUAGCUGUGGGUUAAGUGCAAAGCAGAACUGACCACGACUAAGUUUAUGGAUAAUGGAUUAUGGAAUGCUGAGCACUCACAGACCCCAGGGUAGCCACUAAGAGCUUGGCCUCCUGGCACUAGCAACCUGCCUGAGGACCAGGGUGCCCAAAGUGCAAGGGAGGGAAGUGUCACUGCUGGGCUGCUUCACAACCAACUGAAAACUUAAAUUGACAAUGAAUUGGAAAUGAAAUCCACAAUGAAAUGAAAAGGAAAUUCAUAAUGAAAUGGAAAUGAAAAUCACAAUGAAAUGAAAUUCCCAAGGGAAUGAAAGUCAAACUCAAUUCACAGUUAAAAUGAAAUACAUAAUUUUUUAAACAAGAAAUUAAACCCCCCCAAAAAAAGUUGAGUUUCUCAAGAAAGAAGAUUAAAAGAGGCCAAACUUUAUCCUCUUUCUCUUUGGGUGGCUCUCAAUGUGUCUCAAUAAAUUCCAGUCCUUACUCCACCUUUGACUUCUCAGCCUCAAUCUCUCCCCAGCACAAAAUGCUUUCCAAUCAGAAGCUUGAGAGUUUGGGCUCCAAAAUGCACCUGCCAAGGGACUGGGAAUUUGGAUGGGUCUUGAGGCAGCAUUUCCCACCCAACCCCCCCAGACGCAGCUCUCCUUGGGCCUCUCUUUUGAGCUUUCUCUUUCCUGUGCUUGGCUCCUGCUCACCACCUGCUGAUGCUUCCCCAGCUGCCUUCUGCCUGCAGCUCAUCUGUUGCAAGCCAGGGCACAAACACCCAACCAGCCCCGAGCCUCGGGUGCCUGCCAGGGCAGAUCCCUUUGGGCAUCACCUCUGACCCAGGCUGAUGGAGCUGGAGAUGCUUUGUUAGCACCUCCUGAGGCCCUGGAGCUCCUCUCCCCACCUCGUUCCCUGCCUGUGCCUCCAGCUUCUCCUGCUCAUUAAAUGUUAUCCUGCAGCAGACACUU